rnacentral:rRNA from 1 species
CCCUUAGAUGUUCUGGGCCGCACGCGCGCUACACUGAUGCAUUCAACGAGUAAUCUUUGACCUUGGUCGACAGAUCUGGGUAAUCUUUUGAAAUUGCAUCGUGAUGGGGCUUGCGGGUUGCAAUUACCCGCACCAACGAGGAAUUCCUAGUAAACGCAAGUCAUCAACUUGCAUUGAUUACGUCCCUGCCCUUUGUACACACCGCCCGUCGCACCUACCGAUUGAGUGGUCCGGUGAAGACCUCGGACUGUGGCUGCGGUUGCUUGAUUGCGACUGUGUGCUGUGGGAAGUUGUCUAAAUCUUAUCACUUAGAGGAAGGUGAAGUCGUAACA